ACGAAUUAAUAUAAAAUAUGAGAACAAAAGUUUGUUCCGAAAUUUUUAUAAUUUUGCAAUUCUUGAAUGUCAAUAUUUCGCAAAACAAGGCUGAUACGAUUUUAGUGAAAAUGGAUUUUGGUUACGUAGGUGAUAACGAACAAAGUUGCAUUUUCAAUUUUUGUCGUUGUUGUUGUAUUAGUC